rnacentral:misc_RNA from 1 species
UAAUGCGUGUGGCGGUAGCAG